rnacentral:misc_RNA from 1 species
AAUUUAAUUCAUAAUUUGUGCAGGUUUAACUCUUUUUUUAACAAAAAAAUUAAUUUAUUUUAAUUUUGUUGUGCCUAAUGAAGUGAAAAAAGUAAAAUAAGAAUUAAAAAUAAUAAAAUUUGUGAAUCAAGACCAAUAACUCUUGAAAGAAGCAAUAUGAAUAAUAAAGCAAAUUAAAAGAGGAAGAGCAAUUAGAUAAUGAGAGAAUGCUUGGUGAGAAGAAAAAUAUUUGGCGUGUAUCAAAUGACAGAAAAAUAUUAACUAGAGAGAUAGAGAAAAUUCAAAUUAGAUUUAAUUAAGCCAUUAAAUCAUUGUUAAUUAAAAAAAAACAUUAUUCUCUAAUUGAAAAAAAAUUUCAAUGUUGCUAUUUAAAAUAUUAAAAUUUUAAAAUGCUACCUAUAAACUUUAGCCAAAUAAGUUGGCAGUUCUCUCAAAUCAGUGGCUUUAAU